UACACUACACAUGACUAGAUCUAGCGAGUCACCUGACAUUCUUCUCAGGUGACCGGAUGUAGCGCAGGUAAAAUGGUAUGCCUCACAGUCACUCGUUCUUUUGAAAUCAGAUGGCGCGACUAACGUGGUGAGAGCACUGUUAUCGCAAUUAUUCUGCCGGUGGUGAUCUAAGCGGUAAGGGAAGCAUUUUUGACCGAACUGUUUAGGCAUAGAGCAUUCAUACUGGUUGUAGCCUAAGCUUACGAACCCUGAUGUGCUUAACAUUACAGCGUUUGUCAUCGGUUGCCUGGUCGCCAUUAUUGACAAAUACAUGCCGGUUUCCGUGUUCGUGUUCAAAUGGAAUGGAUGACUAGCUGUAUGAAUGUAUGAAGAUUUUAUCAAGAUGUCUAUUCGCAAAUGUUGUGUCCAGUCCACCUGCAGUAAAAUCAGUGCAGACGUUAUCAGGAGCCAGUUGUAGCCACUGUUUUUCCCUUUUUGUAAAAUAUCUAAACUUGAAGUCAGUGGGUCAAAGCUAUGUUGUAGGUAGCUAUAUGCCAGUUGUAGAACCACCUCCAAGUUUUGCGUGUUAUGUAUUUCCUUUUUUUGAUGUGUAUGGCGAGGCUUUCCUUCCUUUCUUUCCUUUGUCAGCCGGGGCUGGGAGAACACAGAUGGUAGCAUAGGCUACAGCUCAGUCGCCGCUUCAGGAGGCUUGUAUUGCAUGCGUGUGCAGUGAUCUUGUGUUGCACUUUGUAGUGGAGGAUUGCCUAUGCGUGACUUAAUUGUAGCACUCUUAGAGUAUAGUAUAUAGCUAUUGGUGUGUGGCUAUUCCAAUUGUAGCACUCUUAGAGUAUAGUAUAUAGCUAUUUGUGUGUGGCUAUUCUAAUUGUAGCGCUCUUAGAGUAUAGUACAUAGCUAUUUGUGUGUGGCUAUUCCAAUUGUAGCACUCUUAGAGUAUAGUAUAGGCUAUAGCCAACUCCUGUGGCAUGCUAUUGUAGCGGUCUUAUCCCUCUGAGCUAUUCUGCUCUCGGCUGGCGCCUCUUUUUCCCUUGCCCUUACUGGUGUGAUUUUGCCCUCUUUUGGGGUGUUUAUGUAUUUAGUUUUUCUUUAUUUGGUAGCAGGCAUAGUGAGUCUACUUGCAAUGUAUGCACAUUGAUAUUGCACUGUGUAGCCUUUGUGGAAAUGUUUACAGACAGACUACUAUUAU